UGAGGAAUAUUGGUCAAUGGGCGGGGAGCCUGAACCAGCCAAGCCGCGUGAGGGAAGAAGGUACAGCGUAUCGUAAACCUCUUUUGUCAGGGAACAAAGGCGGGGACUAGUCCCCAGAUGAGGGUACCUGAAGAAAAGCAUCGGCUAACUCCGUGCC
rnacentral:rRNA from 1 species